rnacentral:rRNA from 1 species
UGCCAGCCGCCGCGGUAAUACGGAGGGUGUAAGCGUUGUUCGGAAUUAUUGGGCGUAAAGCGCGUGUAGGCGGUUCGUUAAGUCUGAUGUGAAAGCCCGGGGCUCAACCUGGGAACUGCAUUCGAUACUGCUUCGCUAGAGUGUGUGAGAGGAAAGUGGAAUUCCGGGUGUAGCGGUGAAAUGCGUAGAGAUGUGGAGGAAUACCAGUGGCGAAGGCGGCCCCCUGGAUCGAUACUGACGCUGAGGUGCGAAAGCGUGGGGAGCAAACAGGAUUAGAUA